GUCUUUUUGAUUAUAAUUUAAAGUCUAACCUGCCCAAUGAGGAGUUAAAUGGCCGCGGUAAUUUGACCGUGCAAAGGUAGCAUAAUCAUUAGUUUUUUAAUUGAAAGCUGGUAUGAAUGGUUGGACGAGAAAGUGACUGUCUCAAUUUAAUUGAAUUAGAAUUUUAUUUAUAAGUAAAAAAGCUUAUAUGUAUUUAAAAGACGAGAAGACCCUAUAGAAUUUUAUAUUUGUAUAAAUAAUUUUUUUUUAGAAGUUUAGAUUUCUUAUUUAUAUAAUUAUUUUGUUGGGGUGACAAAGAAAUUUAAUAAACUUUUUUUAAAUGAUUACAUUGAUUUAUGAGUUUAUGAUCCAUUGUUUAUGAUUAAAAGAUUAAAUUACCUUAGGGAUAACAGCGUAAUUUUUUUUUAGAGUUCUUAUCGAAAAGAAAGUUUGCGACCUCGAUGUUGGAUUUAAAA
rnacentral:rRNA from 1 species